UCUUGCCCUAUCCUCCAGACG
rnacentral:tRNA from 1 species